AUGGCGGGCAAAGCUGCGAAAUCUGUGGCAAAAGCAAUUGGGGAAUACCAGUAUCCAUGGCGUGAGAAGUUGGUUAAAUAUAAGGAUGAACUAUCGAAGGGGGUGUGGGGUUACUGGGAAUUAGGGGCAUGGAAGCCACUUGGAGUCAGCGCACGUCAUCGAGCUAGGCUUCGCAAGGAAGUGCUCCUUGCCGGAGAAGAUUGGCCAUAUGAUCCGGAGAGGAAAGAAAUGAGAACCAAGAGGAAAGGACACAAACAUGACAGGAUAUCUGCAGAGAAACGGGAAAACACUGCAAGGUUGAUGGAAAAGAUGCCAGAGAUGUUGCUUGAAUACAAGAAACGCAGGUGGGAGAAAAAGAUGAAGGAAGAAGACAAGAACAAACCUUGAAUAAAUGCAUAUGGAAAUGUUGUUUUGUGUUGAGAUCAUUUUUGUUAAAGUUCCAUGAAAUUAGUGCUCUCUUAUGUUGAAGAGGGAAUGGUGGGUAUGUUGAAGAGGGAAUGGUGGGGAGCGAUUGUUCUUGAAUCCAUGAACAUCUACUAUUUCAGAGAAAGAUCAUGAGAAGAGGAUGCAGCAGCUUCAAUGGAGGAGGCGGAGAAGCCAAGGCACAAAAAAGAAACGGUGCUCAACGGCGUUAAUGAGUUUUUGGGGGAAUGCUAUCUGACGAGGAAAUCAUCCAUAUGUCAUUCAAAUGUCAUUAAAUGAAAGGGAGAAGUACUGAGUUUGAAUACUCCGCGAGUAUUAGAAAUAUUUCCUCUCAGUUGGCUUAUGAUAUGGCAUUUUUUUAACACAUGUCAGCAAAUCAUUUGGAGUGGUAUCAGCUGAGCGGGUACCACCGAUGCACCGAAGAUUUUCUCCUUUUCUACGGCAAUUUAGGCUCAGUUAUUGAUUGUCUCCAAGACAAUGAGUAUUUACUAUUGAGCAUUGAAUUCAUGAUGAUAAAUGGACGCAAUUUGGUAUUCCCAAAGUUCAGCAUUAUGGUUACAGUAUUCCCAUAAUGGCUUCA